rnacentral:rRNA from 1 species
CGUAGGGUGCAAGCGUUAAUCGGAAUUACUGGGCGUAAAGCGUGCGCAGGCGGUUUUGUAAGACAGGCGUGAAAUCCCCGGGCUCAACCUGGGAAUUGCGCUUGUGACUGCAAAGCUGGAGUGCGGCAGAGGGGGAUGGAAUUCCGCGUGUAGCAGUGAAAUGCGUAGAUAUGCGGAGGAACACCGAUGGCGAAGGCAAUCCCCUGGGCCUGCACUGACGCUCAUGCAACGAAAGCGUGGGGAGCAAACAGGAUUAGAUACCCUGGUAGUCCACGCCCUAAACGAUGUCAACUGGUUGUUGGGUCUCUUCUGACUCAGUAACGAAGCUAACGCGUGAACGUUGACCGCCUGGGGAGUACGGCGCAAGGUUG